rnacentral:rRNA from 1 species
GACGAACGCUGGCGGCGUGCCUAAUACAUGCAAGUAGAACGCAGUUGCGAACGGGUGAGUAACGCGUAGGUAACUGCCUGGUAGCGGGGGAUAACUAUUUGAAACGAUAGCUAAUCCCGCCUACUACCAGCUGGACCUGCGUUGUAUUAGCUAGUGGGUGGGGUAACGGCUUACCAAGGCGACGCUACAUAGCCGACCUGAGAGGGUGGUCGGCCACACUGGGACUGGGACACGGCCCAGACUCCUACGGGAGGCAGCAGUAGGGAAUCUUCGGCAAUGGACGGAAGUCUGACCGAGCAACGCCGCGGGAGUGAAGAAGGUUUUCGGAUCGUAAAGCUCUGUUGUAAGAGAAGCGGUAUCUGACCAGAAAGGGACGGCUAACUACGUGCCAGCAGCCGCGGUAAUUC